UCUAAAUAUAAAACAAUAUAUUGAAUGCCAUUCCAUUUAUUGAUGCUUUGAAGAAUCGAGUCGAAGUACUGUAGCCAGCUGGGCUACGCUCACUGGAUGAAUUGCAAAUUAAAACUGAUUUAAUACAAAGACGGCAUAAGUUUGCUGAAAGUUAUACAAAUGGAGAAGUAUUGGUGCGUUUCUUUCCACAUGUAGAAGUUAAUGCAUAUAGAAAGAGAUAAAGGAGGUCAGAAAAGUUGGCAGAAUAGUUUGUGUAGCAUUUGUGGAAGCGAAAUUGGUCAAAAAACUAGAAAAAAUCAAAAAAAAGUUAAAUGGAUCAAAUGUGAUAUUUGCAUCCAAAUCGAUGGUACCGUAUAAGAUGCAUUGUUUUUAAAAAUGAAACUUUAUUUUGUUGUGAACAUAUUUAUAUACAAAUGUAAUAAUAAAUAAAACUUUAAAAAUUGCA